rnacentral:rRNA from 1 species
AUUGAACGCUGGCGGCAGGCCUAACACAUGCAAGUCGAGCGGAGCGGCGGACGGGUGAGUAAUGCCUAGGAAUCGGCCUGGUAGUGGGGGAUAACGUCCGGAAACGGGCGCUAAUACCGCAUACUAUCAGAUUAGGCUAGGUCGGAUUAGAUAGUUGGUGGGGUAAAGGCCUACCAAGGCGAAGAUCCGUAACUGGUCUGAGAGGAUGAUCAGUCCCACUGGAACGGAGACACGGUCCAGACUCCUACGGGAGUCAGCAGUGGGGAAUAUUGGACAAUGGGCGAAAGCCUGAUCCAGCCAUGCCGCGUGUGUGAAGAAGGUCUUCGGAUUGUAAAGCACUUUCAGCGGGGAGGCGUUACCCGCAGAAGAAGCACCGGCUAACUCCGUGCCAGCAGCCGCGGUAAUAC